AGGGCGCACGGUGGAUGCCUUGACACUAGGAGUCGAUGAAGGACGGGACUAACGCCGAUAUGCUUCGGGGAGCUGUAAGUAAGCUUUGAUCCGAAGAUUUCCGAAUGGGGAAACCCACCAUACGUAAUGGUAUGGUAUCCUUAUCUGAAUACAUAGGGUAAGGAAGACAGACCCAGGGAACUGAAACAUCUAAGUACCUGGAGGAAGAGAAAGCAAAUGCGAUUUCCUGAGUAGCGGCGAGCGAAACGGAACAUAGCCCAAACCAAGAGGCUUGCCUCUUGGGGUUGUAGGACAUUCUAUACGGAGUUACAAAGGAACGAGGUAGACGAAGCGACCUGGAAAGGUCCGUCGUAGAGGGUAACAACCCCGUAGUCGAAACUUCGUUCUCUCUUGAAUGUAUCCUGAGUACGGCGGAACACGUGAAAUUCCGUCGGAAUCUGGGAGGACCAUCUCCCAAGGCUAAAUACUCCCUAGUGAUCGAUAGUGAACCAGUACCGUGAGGGAAAGGUGAAAAGCACCCCGGAAGGGGAGUGAAAGAGAUCCUGAAACCGUGUGCCUACAAAUAGUCAGAGCCCGUUAACGGGUGAUGGCGUGCCUUUUGUAGAAUGAACCGGCGAGUUACGAUCCCGUGCGAGGUUAAGCUGAAGAGGCGGAGCCGCAGCGAAAGCGAGUCUGAAUAGGGCGUUUGUACGUGGUCGUAGACCCGGGUGAUCUACCCAGUCCAGGGUGAAGUUCAGGUAACACUGAAUGGAGGCCCGAACCCACGCACGUUGAAAAGUGCGGGGAUGAGGUGUGGGUAGCGGAGAAAUUCCAAUCGAACCUGGAGAUAGCUGGUUCUCCCCGAAAUAGCUUUAGGGCUAGCCUUAAGUGUAAGAGUCUUGGAGGUAGAGCACUGAUUGGACUAGGGGUCCUCAUCGGAUUACCGAAUUCAGUCAAACUCCGAAUGCCAAUGACUUAUCCUUAGGAGUCAGACUGCGAGUGAUAAGAUCCGUAGUCAAAAGGGAAACAGCCCAGACCGCCAGCUAAGGUCCCAAAGUGUGUAUUAAGUGGAAAAGGAUGUGGAGUUGCUUAGACAACUAGGAUGUUGGCUUAGAAGCAGCCACCAUUUAAAGAGUGCGUAAUAGCUCACUAGUCGAGUGACUCUGCGCCGAAAAUGUACCGGGGCUAAAUACACCACCGAAGCUGCGGAUUGAUACCAAUGGUAUCAGUGGUAGGGGAGCGUUCUAAGGACAGUGAAGUCAGACCGGAAGGACUGGUGGAGUGCUUAGAAGUGAGAAUGCCGGUAUGAGUAGCGAAAGACGGGUGAGAAUCCCGUCGCGAUGGACAACAGGUUGAUAUUCCUGUACCACCUCUUUAUCGUUUGAGCAAUGGAGGGACGCAGAAGGAUGUGCUGCGGCAAAUCCGCUUAUCGUGAAGGCUGAGCUGUGAUGGGGAAGCUCCUUAUGGAGCGAAGUCUUUGAUUCCCCGCUGCCAAGAAAAGCUUCUAGCGAGAUAAAAGGUGCCUGUACCGCAAACCGACACAGGUAGGCGAGGAGAGAAUCCUAAGGUGUGCGAGAGAACUCUGGUUAAGGAACUCGGCAAAAUGACCCCGUAACUUCGGGAGAAGGGGUGCUUUCUUAACGGAAAGCCGCAGUGAAUAGGCCCAAGCGACUGUUUAGCAAAAACACAGCUCUCUGCGAAGCCGUAAGGCGAAGUAUAGGGGGUGACACCUGCCCGGUGCUGGAAGGUUAAGGAGAGGGGUUAGCGUAAGCGAAGCUCUGAACUGAAGCCCCAGUAAACGGCGGCCGUAACUAUAACGGUCCUAAGGUAGCGAAAUUCCUUGUCGGGUAAGUUCCGACCCGCACGAAAGGUGUAACGAUUUGGGCACUGUCUCAACCAGAGACUCGGUGAAAUUAUAGUACCUGUGAAGAUGCAGGUUACCCGCGACAGGACGGAAAGACCCCGUGGAGCUUUACUGUAGCCUGAUAUUGAAUUUUGGUACAGUUUGUACAGGAUAGGCGGGAGCCUUUGAAACCGGAGCGCUAGCUUCGGUGGAGGCGCUGGUGGGAUACCGCCCUGACUGUAUUGAAAUUCUAACCUACGGGUCUUAUCGACCCGGGAGACAGUGUCAGGUGGGCAGUUUGACUGGGGCGGUCGCCUCCUAAAGUGUAACGGAGGCGCCCAAAGGUUCCCUCAGAAUGGUUGGAAAUCAUUCGUAGAGUGCAAAGGCAUAAGGGAGCUUGACUGCGAGACCUACAAGUCGAGCAGGGACGAAAGUCGGGCUUAGUGAUCCGGUGGUUCCGCAUGGAAGGGCCAUCGCUCAACGGAUAAAAGCUACCCCGGGGAUAACAGGCUUAUCUCCCCCAAGAGUCCACAUCGACGGGGAGGUUUGGCACCUCGAUGUCGGCUCAUCGCAUCCUGGGGCUGUAGUCGGUCCCAAGGGUUGGGCUGUUCGCCCAUUAAAGCGGUACGCGAGCUGGGUUCAGAACGUCGUGAGACAGUUCGGUCCCUAUCCGUCGUGGGCGUAGGAAAUUUGAGAGGAGCUGUCCUUAGUACGAGAGGACCGGGAUGGACGCACCGCUGGUGUACCAGUUGUUCUGCCAAGGGCAUAGCUGGGUAGCUAUGUGCGGAAGGGAUAAGUGCUGAAAGCAUCUAAGCAUGAAGCCCCCCUCAAGAUGAGAUUUCCCAUAGCGUAAGCUAGU
rnacentral:rRNA from 1 species